rnacentral:rRNA from 1 species
GGAUGCGAUCAUACCAGCACUAAAGCACCGGAUCCCAUCAGAACUCCGUAGUUAAGCGUGCUUGGGCGAGAGUAGUACUAGGAUUGGUGACCUCCUGGGAAGUCCUCGUGUUGCAUUCC